AUUGUGCAUUGGAAUGAUGGUCGACGGGCAGGAUGUCAAAACUGUUUUAUCGUCCUGAGAAAUCUGAUUCAACUUGUUGUUCUCGUGCUCCUUCUUCGAGACCAGUCCCGGUUGAUCGGCGAGCGCGGUUUUCAUUCUCUGAAUGUUAUUCGAGUAAUCCGUCCCCGUGUUCGAGGUCGCUAUGAUAGUUUGCGUGGGCGCGACCGCGUUUUUCGGGGACUGAAGUGCAGGCACGUCGCAACAUCUCGGCGGAUUGUGCCUGGGCGGUGUUCUGUCCACGUAGGUUAACUCGUUCUCGAAGUUCUCGACCCUGGACAGAGUGGCGGGCAAAGGUUCGGCGGGCAUGAAUUGAUUGGAAAUUUGAGAUUUUGGACGAUUAGAGUUGAGGCGCGCGUUACGGGGCGUCAUGGGCGCUAUGGGAGGUGGUUGAGCCUCGGACGUCGUCCUCGAGGCGGCUUGAAAUUCCUGGAACGACUCCUCCUCGUCCUCGGAGAACAGAUUGGGAUUGAAGGUAGGAUCCGGACCUGAGGAGCAAGCGAAUCGAUUGAGUUUCGAGGUCGACGAACUUCUCGACGCAACCGUUACAACUUGAGUCUCUAACUUGAGUAUAAAUGUAAUUUGUCUUCGAAAGAGAGAUUUUAUUUUCUCGACGACGUUGAACGAUCCUUGGGAACGAAGUUAGCCGGAAAGUUCCCCUUUUGGGCGCAAGCUUCAAAUUGCAACGGCUGCAUUUCUUUUUUUUUUUUUUUUCCGUUCGUGAUCGCGGAAAUAUACCUGCAGGCACGUCAUCCCGUAAUUCCGUCAUCACCAGAGUCAUUUGUCGCGGUUGCAAAUGCAACAACGAUGUUCGAUAAGUAACCUGACCCAAGUUGGCGGGCACCGAAUCAGCCAGCCCGUGAAACUUGAAUUUCGUGCCCCAGAUAUUAGACGUUACUUCGACCAAUCUCGCGUGCUGCAAACAGAUACGUCUUGCGACACUGUUGGUCACGCGACUUGACUUUUGCAAUACCUUAAGGCUCAAAGGGCUCGUUAAACUUUGCUACAUCACGCAAUUUCUUAUUGGCCGGGUUUGUAUCGUAGCCUCUUAAAUCGUUAUCCGUGACGUUUUCAGAAAGAUUGCUCGUCGUA